rnacentral:rRNA from 1 species
UACGAAGGGGGCUAGCGUUGCUCGGAAUUACUGGGCGUAAAGCGCACGUAGGCGGCUUUCUAAGUCGGGGGUGAAAUCCUGGAGCUCAACUCCAGAACUGCCUUCGAUACUGGAGAGCUUGAGUCCGGGAGAGGUGAGUGGAACUGCGAGUGUAGAGGUGAAAUUCGUAGAUAUCGAGAGGAAUACCUGUGGCGAAGGCGGCCAACUGGACGAGUACUGACACUGAGACACGAAAGCGUGGGGAGCAAACAGG